GAUGAAGACAUCAGGAUGUUCCUGGAAGAGGCCACAUCACUCGACCCCAGGUUUAAGACAAAAAUCCUGGGUGCUGCCGUUUGGUCUAGGUUGGUGGAGAAAGCAUGCGGUGAAAACUCUGAACAGCAUGCACUGGAAAUGUAUGAAGAAGAGGAAGAGAACAAACUGGACAAGGGGAUGGAGGAGGAAUUAGGGGAUGAAGAGACUGCAUCUCUGGAUGACACAACACAUAUUGCUGUGACUACGAGCCACUCCAUGUGUCACUCUGCACUGGGGGAGCUGUUUGCAGAGGAGGACUUGGCCCUUAAAACCAACCAGGCAGCGCCACUACUUGACCUGUCAGAGAAGGCACGGAAGGAGCUUGAACUCUACAGAGCUCUACCUCCAGAGCUGACCUCCACCAAUCCUGCUGAGUGGUGGUGGGAGAGGAGAGGGACGUUCCCUAUCUUGUUUAAUCCGGCCUCUAAUUACACAUGUGUCCAGGCAUCCUCCACUCCAGCCGAACGGAUCUUUUCAACAGCCGGUGACACAAUCAGCCAGGGCUUGCCUUUUGCCAGAGAAGGCAGACAUGCUAAUAUUUCUGAAAAAAAGUUGUUAAUAAAUGAGGACUGACUGAGUCAGUGUUGUUCAGUGUUAGUUCUGGUUGUGAAAUUGACACAAACCAAAAUACUUCAUUGUACAGGUUUGUACAGCUGUUAAUAAAUAUUUGAGCACUUUUGAAAUGCAUUUGUGUAGAAAAUCUUUUGAAUGGGGAGGAGUGGUGACAUUUAUGAUACUGAUUUACUGAUUUACUGAUUUCUGUGAAAAUACUGCUUUAUUUUCACAUGAUUAUUAUUGAAUGAAGUUGAAAAAAGUAUCGAAUGAAGUACUCAAUUGGUGUCAGUAUCGUUUUAAGGGUACUGGUAUUGGUACUGGUAUCGAAAAAUUUCAAACGAUACCCAGCCCUAUAUGUGACCCAUAUCUGAUUUGCUUUAUGAACAGCACAAGUCGCAUUGAAUCUGACAUUUUCUAAUCAGAUUCAGGCCACAUUUAAAUGUGGUACUGAAUCGGAUACGUAUCGGAUUUUUUUGAAUGCGACCGCAAUCUGAACAGCCAGGUCGCAUUUAACGCGACUUUGACGUCAUUCUGACCCGCGCUGCACUGUUUUGUAAAUGAAUGACAAAUAAAGUUGAUUGAAAAAAAAGUGUGCCACAGGCGGGAGCGAGCGGGAGCCACGAACAAAAUCAAAACAAACAUGGAGGACAGCAGUGAAGCAGGCCGCCAGUGGAGGGACAGUGAGGUUUUAGACCUUAUAAGUAAGACGCCGCAUCCAAAUACUCCUCUGUACGGAUGUUGCCGCUAUUGCUCCGCAUAGAGCCAUCAUUAAAAUAUGAAUUUUCUUUCUCCUCUUCCUUCUUCGUGAUAUCACCCGCUCACAAAUUUGCCGGCUGCCGCCACACACUGUUUUUAGCAUUAAGCCAUACAGUCCCACGUUAAUGGUUGCCGUUGCCAUGUUCGCUUCCGUAAACACCGCUGUGGCGUGAUGUCAUCAAUGAUCAACUGCGCAUGCGGGUCACUUCAGGAGCGUGAGCUGUUCACACAGCAAUCCGUAGACAGGCCGCAUUUAAAGAGGUAAUGUGAACAGCCAAACAAAAAAUCGGAUUUGAGCAAUAAAUCGGAAUUGUGCAUUAAGACCUGCAGUGUGAACGUAGCCUCUGUCUCCAUGCCUGCUGCUGCUGCGGUGGUUGCUUCCGCUGCUGCCCACCUUGUGCCGACUGCUGCGGCCGCUUUCCCCUCCAUGUAUUCUGCCCUCAGCUCCCCUGCCAGCUGCUGCAGGACUUUCCUUCGGGCUCUCCUGCUGCUGGUGCUCCUUGAAUAAGAUGCAGGCAUCGAUACCAGCCAGGUCAAGGGUGUUAUAGAAGACCGCUACUGGCCGUCUUCGCUAGUUUUGCCUUCGCCCCACUAAAGCUGCCCACAGCUGUGUGCACGGUGCGCAAGAUGCAGACAUUCUUCCCCGGCUUUCCCUGCUACACAGUCAGAGUUGCAUCACCACACUUAAGUGUUGAACAGCUCGCCUUGCUGUUCCACAGAGGGGUUUUUGUUUGCCCAUGGUUUCAACCAGGCUAUAUAAUACAACUAUACAAUAAUUCACUUACAAGUAAAUUCACAAAGAAACACAGCUGGAGACCACUAACAAAAGGUAGAGAAGACAGACAAUGAAAAUAGCAAACCCUGCGAAAUGAUGUGCGGUCAAUAUGACCGCUUGUUGCCGAAAUAGGUAAAACAUUUUUCUUUUGUGUAAUUUAUAUAAAAACUGUUCUAAAUUAAAAUACAGACACUUUCAGGAAAAGUCAUGUAACAGCAGUAUUGCAUUUUUUCAUUCAACAAAGUUAUUGCACAUAUAAAUUUCAAUCUUGGCCAUUCUAGUGCUGGGUAUUCUUCAAGGUUCUUGGUGCUUUAGCAAUAUUGUAGUUGUGGCAUUCAUGCCAAUAAAGCAAAUUUGAAUAAAACUGAAUUAAUAAACCUUUAGAUUCUUGCCUAUAGACUGAUAAGUGUUGUGUUUACAAAUGAGCAAUAAAUCCAGAUUUCUUCAAAUUUGUAUUGCCAAUGGGAAUUUAAAUUUAAAUGUCAGGCGAUGUUUUCCUCACUGAAAUUUUUUUUUUUCAAGCUAGCUAUCUCCCUCUGUCAACCACAAUCUGUCUCCUCUGUCAAUAAACUCUAUUCAGCUCUGUUAAAUAACAGGUGUUACAACCCUUAGGUAACAUUAGGUUGGAGGAAAACCCUCCUACCUAACGUUACUAAACUCAUUUCUUAACUACAGCUUGUCAUUUGAAUGUCGACUAGGGUCUAUAUAUUAAAGCUGAGAUUAAUUCUGAAACACAUAUAAACCCAAAACAGCCCACAAUUCAUUUUCUUCAUGUAAGACCACGUCUAGGAAUGGGUGGCUGCUUCUGACUCAUUUGGAUGUAACAUGUACACGCAGGUAGUGAUGCGCAGCAUGCAGACAGCGGUGUUUGAGAGAGAUGAUCCUCAUUAACAAGAAGCAUUUUGCUUAUGCAAAUAAAUACAUCUGUUUAAACUAGAUAUUUAUAUGCCACAAAACAAUAUCAGUAGUAUUAGUAGGUUUAUAGGCAAACAAACAAGCAACAACCACUAUGAUCAUUAUUUAUUGUAUUCUUACAUUUGUGGGAAGUUACAAUACAGAUGUUCACGUCCCCACAAACGUAAUAGUUAUUACGUUUGAGGUAUAGUGCACCAAAUGGGGUUAAUACGGGCCUGGGAAUGUGUUGUGACACGCCCCCAUUUGGGCUAAAUUCAUUCAGCCCAAACUCAGUAGCUUAAGCUUCCUCUGACGUUUGAUUGACAGGUGCGCUGACACGCCCCCCUCAUAUGCUGCCCAUUUGGGCUGAAUUAAUUCUGACCUUCAACCAAUCACAGUGCAGUAGCCACUGUAUCAGUUUUCUUUAAUGUCUUUGGAGGAAAAAAUGGAAGUGAAGAGAUUGGGGGCACAUCAUCUAAACAAUGUACAAAUAACACAAAAGGAUAAACAGCAAAAUAGUAACUUUUGUGUUACAUGGUUUCAGCGAACAGACUGGCUAACUGCAAGUGUAGCUAGAAAUUCACUUUUUCUGUUUCCCAUGUUUGACACGGCUUGGACCCAACAAGGAAUUGUGGAUUUGAAACAUUUGUCCGACAAAAUAAGGAAACAUGAAUACAGCACAAGCCACAUUGGAAAUGCUGUAAAGCUGUCAUUGCUGGAUAAAGUAAACAUCGCCUGUCAGCUUAAUGAGGGUCACCGCAUCGCUGUACAGAGACACAACGAGCUGGUAAAAAAAAAACAGGCAUUCACUGUCAAGGAUUGUGGACUGUAUUAAAUUUUGUGGGGGACACGAGCUUGCUCUGCGGGGGUCAGAGGAAUCUC
rnacentral:lncRNA from 1 species